rnacentral:rRNA from 1 species
UACAGAGGGUGCGAGCGUUAAUCGGAAUUACUGGGCGUAAAGCGUGCGCAGGCGGCUUUGCAAGACAGAUGUGAAAUCCCCGGGCUCAACCUGGGAACUGCAUUCGUGACUGCAUGGCUAGAGUACGGUAGAGGGGGAUGGAAUUCCGCGUGUAGCAGUGAAAUGCGUAGAUAUGCGGAGGAACACCGAUGGCGAAGGCAAUCCCCUGGACCUGUACUGACGCUCAUGCACGAAAGCGUGGGGAGCAAACAGG